AGCGCACGCGCCCCCGCAGCGCACGCGCCCCCGCAGCGCACGCGCCCCCGCACGCGCAGUGCAAUGGAGCGGAGAGAAAGACCCUUAACUGGGUCUGCUGCAUUAGUAUCUGCUUUCCUGGUGAACUAGGGAACAGACAGGCCACCUCUUAGUGCAAGGCCAGAACCUGAGACUGGGGAGAGUGGCAUGGUAUCUAUCUUAUUCCCUUCUGGGUUCCCAUUGUGUACCAGGCUCAUUGCUGCUCAUAUCUGCCUGUUGGAGCACUUUUGUGGCCACUGCAGCUCACCUGAUGGAACGCUUUUGUCACCGAAGUAGGGAGGUCAUCUGAUUUGGCACCUAUAGGAAGCCACCCUGAUUGCAGGAUUUCCAGCCUUCUCCUACAUGUAAAUCAUCAAUAAACAUGACGUGACAAUUAAGACUGAGUGAGAGAUAGCAGAAACAAAUGGCAAAACCAAAUCUCCAAAGGCCUCAGAUAUUGGAAAUGUCUGCUUUAGUUCGAAGAAGAAAUGUAUUCUUCCACUCAUUUUGUAGACCUAGAAAGCAAAAUUGAUCUCUUCGGUAUAUAUUUUUUGACUUAGUUUUUAAAAAAAUACUGAUUUAUAUAUUUGCCUGCGCUGGGUCUUAGUUACAGCACACAGGAUCUUUGAUUUUUAUUGCAGCAUGUGGGUCUUUGUUAUGGCAUGUGGGACCUAGUUCCCUGACCAGGAACUGAACCUGGGCUCCCUGCAUUGUGAGCUUGGAGUCUUGGCCCUGGAGCACCAGCAAAGUCCUUCUUUGGUGUAUUUAAAGAAACUAGAAUAACUGGAAACA
ensembl:lncRNA